UCAGUAGAUCGAAUUGCUAGUUUGCUGCAACUUGAGAGUUGUACCGUUGGUAGCCGCGUGAGUGGUUUGGACAUGUUGUUGAUCUGAAGCAAGACCUGAUUCCUGCUAACUUAAUCUGCCCCUUUUUGUUUGAUAAUAUGGUGUAGUAUUACGAAGAUUACUAGUUGGAUCCAUAUACCACUGAGCAGCAAAAAUAUAUACCUUGCUUUGUUUUAUUUUCUAAUUCGUUGCUCAGAUCGAUGGUUAGAUGGACAUGGUACUUUAGCUCCGGAAUUCUAAGCUUGCAUAUUUCUGAAUUCUAGGUCUGCACCGGUAUCAUGAGUUAAUCAGAUGCGUGUCACCAGCUAUAGUGAUGAUAUUACCAUCAUUUUCCUGCAGAGAGAGCACUGCCUGCUACAAUCAAACUAUAGUUGCAUUAUCCUGUGCCAAUCAGUUUACAAAAAAAUAAAUUGUCCUCUCAAACUAAUGUGUUGUCUUAUUUUCUCACUUUGGCUGGUACAGUGAUACCAAUCUAAUUGCAGUCGAGGGGAUAUGUGAUAACUUGAAACUGAGCACAGAACGUUCUUUCUUGGUUUGCAUUUGGUGUAACCCCCCUUGAUUGUUCUUUUUCCUCUGUCUUAUAAUCCUCUGAUUGUCAAUCCAGUCAUAUAUUGAUGAUGUAUUGAUCAUUGGUUAUCAGAAGUUUUCUACACAUUGCUGCUGGGUAGAGCAUCUAUUGCAACUACAAUUGGCGAUAUCUACACAGAUCUAUACAUAAAAGAUAAGUAGGAAGUAAGCUUCUAUAGUGUGACGUAGAGGUAUUGGCCAUACACCAUGAAUGAUAGAGGCUGUGCAGCUGAUAUUCAUAGUUUAAUUACUUUUUCCUCCAAAGAGAUACAUAUUUUUAGCUAUAAUGUGUUAGCUUGCUGACAGUACAUCGAUAUAUUCUCCAAUCUGGUUCAACUAUGCCUAUACUCUUUAGUUUUAUGUUGAUGUUUACACUCUUUCUUCUGGUCUGGAGUCUUGUAUUUUUUUUCUGAGGUGUGUACUUCACUUUUAUGUUGUAUACACAAGUAUUUUCAGAUAAAUAAAAGCAAGAACAUUAGAGAGCAUGCAGGGCCCUGAAUUUGGAGAAUCUAGGCGUAUAUCUGUACAAUAUUAUUGAGGUUGGUUGAUACAUGUAUGCACAUUUUUCAGAGCAACGUGCAGUGGAAGAAGCAGCCUGUGAACUGAAAUAGUUUGCAUUGGAAACAAGUGCUGUGAAAUACAAGGAUUUCAUCAAUUGCCUAUUAGAAGACCUAUUAAAAAGUAAUGAUUAUUUUUGUAAAUCAAGGAUGAAAAGAAGACAACUGAUGUGCAAGGACGUGCAGGUACUCAGCCACCUAGUGCGCAUGGAUGUGAUGACUUCGUAGUCUUAUGUAGCAUUUGGCCGUUUGUAGUAUUUCGGACUAGCCAACUUGUAAUCAUGAAUCUUAUGUGCGUUCUGGACCAUUUGGUGCUUCAAGUGUUCUGGAGUAGAAAUCUUGUGGUCAUGGAUGUGACUUUUAAGCCUUUUGGACCAUUUCGUGUUUCAACUCUUUUAGAAUAACAAAUAGUGGUCCUUUUAUGUGGCUUGUGUUUCUGGAUGGUGGUCAAGAUGGCCAAACUUUGCUUUGUCAAUGUUGUCUUGUUUUUGAACUUGUGAUCAAUGUAUAUGUAUGUUUGUGAA